AUUGAAAUAAAACUGGCCCUGCAUCAGUAAUUCCCUUCUUGCCCCUCUCAACUAUCAUCCCACCCCUUCAGAGAAGUGCACCAGUCCGGCAGGGAAUUUCAAUAAUUCUUUUGUUUAAAAAGAGAAGCCCGUGUGCAAGGCAUCUGAAACAGCCAUGUGCUGCUGCUGCAGGUUGCUGUGCUAAGCUAGGAGAGUUACAGGUGAAAGACUGCAGGUUAGUUGUCUGGGCACUGCAGGAGAAAGCUUCACUGUUGUGACAAGGUAUGCUGUACGCUAGAAACUCUGCUUCCAUAUGUGAUCAACCAAGUUCCAAGCCAGAAAAGUAAAGUUUCUAUAUCUCAAGAUAUGGAGCCCAGUUUUUCCCAUCAUUGGUGAAAGGAUGUCACCCGCUUUUCUCUCCCUGGCGAGGGAAUGUCACAAACUUUGCCCCUCCCCUGGUGAGGGGAUGUCUCUAACUAUGCCUCUCCCCUGGUGUGAGGAUGUCUGCCCCUCCCCUGGUGUGAGGAUGCCUCCAUCUUUAAUUUCAUGAAAGGAAUGUGGUUGGCAAUUGUCAUUUGAAGUCACAAGGGAAUAAUGGAGCUCUAUUGGCGAGCAGUGGUCACAUGACAAGUUGACAGGUGUCGGCAUCAGCUGGUGGGUGCCUGUCACCGAUGUCUGGUCCUUCCAAGAUGCAUGAUG